rnacentral:rRNA from 1 species
AGUGAACGCUGGCGGUAGGCCUAACACAUGCAAGUCGAACGGCAGCACAGUAAGAGCUUGCUCUUACGGGUGGCGAGUGGCGGACGGGUGAGGAAUACAUCGGAAUCUACUUUUUCGUGGGGGAUAACGUAGGGAAACUUACGCUAAUACCGCAUACGACCUACGGGUGAAAGCAGGGGGUCUUCGGACCUUGCGCGAUUGAAUGAGCCGAUGUCGGAUUAGCUAGUUGGCGGGGUAAAGGCCCACCAAGGCGACGAUCCGUAGCUGGUCUGAGAGGAUGAUCAGCCACACUGGAACUGAGACACGGUCCAGACUCCUACGGGAGGCAGCAGUGGGGAAUAUUGGACAAAGGGCGCAAGCCUGAUCCAGCCAUACCGCGUGGGUGAAGAAGGCCUUCGGGUUGUAAAGCCCUUUUGUUGGGAAAGAAAAGCAGCAGGUUAAUACCCCGCUGUUCUGACGGUACCCAAAGAAUAAGCACCGGCUAACUUCGUG